AGUGUGGACACAAAUAGAAAACCUCUCAAGGAAACACCAACUAACCGUUUGACUCGGGCCCCAUCACCUACUUCAAUACAAUGCUAGUAAGAAUAUUUGGUGAGAGGAAAGGCGUAGCCUGCUAAGUCCAAACAACCUUGCCCUGCUCAUUGUCCAUUUCUUCCUAUAAUCACUUCCCUUUUCUUUACCACAUCUCCCUUUAGAUAUAUUAUCAUAGUG
rnacentral:misc_RNA from 1 species